GAAAAUGAUUUAAUAAAAGUAUGGGAUUUUGGAUGUACCAAGUGAAUGACGCAACCCUUUCACGGCGUCAAAGUUCUUGUAUGUAUAGCCAACAAAGCUUAAAUCCUUGGGAGCAAGAUUCUGCACAAAAUGGAAAAAGGAUAUGUCAUUCAAAAGUGAAACAUCUAAUAAAAACAGGUUUCGUCACAGACAAAAAAAAUAUAUAUCAACCAACAGCAUUUGAUGAUGCUUUCUUAUAUCCAUUACUUCAGCAGCAAACACUACUAUGCUGUGUGGAGUAUCAACAUCCAUUCACAUAUCCUUGAAUAUAAACCCGCUGGAUUAAGUAUACACUUAACAAUAUUUACAAACCUUCCUGGAGGUGCCUGAUUUAGUUCUUUCAGGUGCAGGAGAAUUCACCUGAGAUAGUGUCAAAAAAUUCAGUAAGCCCCUCACAUUAUCAUAGAAAAAUACU